rnacentral:tRNA from 1 species
GCCUCGGUGGUGGAAUAGGUAGACACACAGGACUUAAAAUCCUGCGCCCUAACACGGCGUGCCGGUUCGAUUCCGGCCCGAGGCACCA